UACCAAGGCGACGACGGGUAGCCGACCUGAGAGGGUGAUCGGCCACACUGGGACUGAGACACGGCCCAGACUCCUACGGGAGGCAGCAGUGGGGAAUAUUGCACAAUGGGCGCAAGCCUGAUGCAGCGACGCCGCGUGAGGGAUGACGGCCUUCGGGUUGUAAACCUCUUUCAGCUCCGACGAAGCGCAAGUGACGGUAGGAGCAGAAGAAGCACCGGCCAACUACGUGCCAGCAGCCGCGGUAAUACGUAGGGUGCAAGCGUUGUCCGGAAUUACUGGGCGUAAAGAGCUCGUAGGCGGUUUGUCGCGUCGUCUGUGAAAUUCUGCAGCUUAACUGCAGGCGUGCAGGCGAUACGGGCAGACUUGAGUACUACAGGGGAGACUGGAAUUCCUGGUGUAGCGGUGAAAUGCGCAGAUAUCAGGAGGAACACCGGUGGCGAAGGCGGGUCUCUGGGUAGUAACUGACGCUGAGGAGCGAAAGCGUGGGUAGCGAACAGGAUUAGAUACCCUGGUAGUCCACGCCGUAAACGGUGGGUACUAGGUGUGGGU
rnacentral:rRNA from 1 species